AGCCUGAAGAAAGUAGUAAUUUCAGGUCUUACCUGCCCAGUGCAAAUGUUUAAAUGUAAACGGCCGCAGUACCUUGACUGUGCUAAGGUAGCAUAAUCAGUUGGCUUUUAAAUGGAGUCGGGAAUGAAUGGGAGCAUGGGGCGAAGCUGUCUCUACUUUAAUUUAUUUAAAUUGCUUUACAGGUGAAAAAGCCUGUUUUUAGAUAAAAGACGAGAAGACCCUGGGAACUUUGAUUAAAGGGAUAAAAUUAUUCUAAGGUUUUUGUUGGGGCGACAUGGGACAGAAAAAUUGAGAUCUUCCCUAAAUAAGAUUUGACUACAAUUUGGUCAGAUGAGUUAAGUUACCCCAGGGAUAACAGCGUUAUUCAUAUUUGAGUUUGCGACCUCGAUGUUGGACUAGGAAAAUGUAAGGCUAGCCGUCUUAUUUUAGAGUUCUGUUCGAACACUACCUCCU
rnacentral:rRNA from 1 species